rnacentral:siRNA from 1 species
UCGAAUCUUUGGGUCUUCGGUGAU